GACGAACGCUGGCGGCGUGCUUAACACAUGCAAGUCGAACGGAGUGGCGAACGGGUGAGUAACACGUGGGUGAUCUGCCUUGCACUUCGGGCUAAGCUUGGGAAACUGGGUCUAAUACCGGAUAGUGCAAGAUGAGCUCGCGGCCUAUCAGCUUGUUGGGGAGGUAAUGGCCUACCAAGGCGUCGACGGGUAGCCGGCCUGAGAGGGUGUACGGCCACAUUGGGACUGCGAUACGGCGCAGAGGCCUACGGGAGGCAGCAGUGGGGAAUAUUGCACAAUAGGCGGAAGCGUGAUGCAGCGACGCUGCGUGGGGGAGGAAGGCCUUCGGGUUGUGAACUCCUUUCGACAGGGACGCGGUACCCGUAUAGGAAGCACCGGCUAACUACGUGCCAGCAGCCGCGGUAAUUC
rnacentral:rRNA from 1 species